rnacentral:rRNA from 1 species
UACGUAGGGGGCAAGCGUUGUCCGGAUUUAUUGGGCGUAAAGAGCGUGUAGGCGGCCAAACAGGUCAGCUGUGAAAACUCGAGGCUCAACCUCGAGACGUCGGUUGAAACCGUAUGGCUAGAGUCCGGAAGAGGAGAGUGGAAUUCCCGGUGUAGCGGUGAAAUGCGCAGAUAUCGGGGAAGAACACCCGUGGCGAAGGCGGCUCUCUGGGACGGUACUGACGCUGAGACGCGAAAGCGUGGGGAGCGAACAGG